UACGUAGGGGGCAAGCGUUGUCCGGAUUUAUUGGGCGUAAAGAGCGUGUAGGCGGCCAGACAGGUCCGUUGUGAAAACUCGAGGCUCAACCUCGAGACGCCGAUGGAAACCGUCUGGCUAGAGUCCGGAAGAGGAGAGUGGAAUUCCUGGUGUAGCGGUGAAAUGCGCAGAUAUCAGGAAGAACACCCGUGGCUAAGGCGGCUCUCUAGUACGGUACUGACGCUGAGACGUGAAAGCGUGGGGAGCGAACAGG
rnacentral:rRNA from 1 species